AUUGAACGCUGGCGGCAGGCCUAACACAUGCAAGUCGAGCGGCAGCGGAAGGAAGCUUGCUUUCUUGCCGGCGAGCGGCGGACGGGUGAGUAAGGUAUGGGGAUCUGGCCGAAGGCGGGGGAUAACCACUGGAAACGGUGGCUAAUACCGCAUAAUCUCUAAGGAGCAAAGUGGGGGACCGUUCAGGCCUCACACCUUCGGAUGAACCCAUAUGAGAUUAGCUAGUAGGUGGGGUAAUGGCUCACCUAGGCGACGAUCUCUAGCUGGUCUGAGGGGAUGAUCAGCCACAGUGGGACUGAGACACGGCCCAGACUCCUACGGGAGGCAGCAGUGGGGAAUAUUGCACAAUGGGCGCAAGCCUGAUGCAGCCAUGCCGCGUGUAUGAAGAAGGCCUUCGGGUUGUAAAGUACUUUCAGUCGUGAGGAAGGUGUUAAGGUUAAUAACCUUAGCAAUUGACGUUAGCGACAGAAGAAGCACCGGCUAACUCCGUGCCAGCAGCCGCCGUAA
rnacentral:rRNA from 1 species